CGCAUUGCUCGUGUCUAUGUUA
rnacentral:siRNA from 1 species